GUGGGGAAUAUUGGGCAAUGGGGGAAACCCUGACCCAGCAACGCCGCGUGAAGGAAGAAGGUUUUCGGAUCGUAAACUUCUAUCCUUGGUGAAGAUAAUGACGGUAGCCAAGAAGGAAGCCCCGGCUAACUACGUGCCAGCAGCCGCGGUAAUACGUAGGGGGCAAGCGUUGUCCGGAAUGAUUGGGCGUAAAGGGCGCGUAGGCGGCCUGGUAAGUCUGGAGGGAAAGUCCUGCUUUUAAGGUGGGAAUUGCUUUGGAUACUGUCGGGCUUGAGUGCAGGAGAGGUAAGCGGAAUUCCCGGUGUAGCGGUGAAAUGCGUAGAGAUCGGGAGGAACACCAGUGGCGAAGGCGGCUUACUGGACUGUAACUGACGCUGAGGCGCGAAAGUGUGGGGAGCAAACAGGAUUAGAUACCCGUGUAGUCC
rnacentral:rRNA from 1 species